UACAGAGGAGCCAAGCGUUGUCCGGAUUGACUGGGCGUAAAGCGCACGCAGGCGGUCGUGCGCGUGGGGUGUGAAAUCUGGCCGCUUAACGGCCAGGCGCCAUCCCAUACGGCACGACUGGAGGGCUGCAGAGGUCGAUGGAAUUGCCGGUGUAGUGGUGAAAUGCGUAGAGAUCGGCAGGAACACCCAGGGGGAAACCAGUCGACUGGGCAGCACCUGACGCUGAGGUGCGAGAGCGUGGGGAGCGAACCGGAU
rnacentral:rRNA from 1 species